GAACGCUGGCGGCGUGCCUAAUACAUGCAAGUCGAGCGAACAGAUAAGGAGCUUGCUCCUUUGACGUUAGCGGCGGACGGGUGAGUAACACGUGGGUAACCUACCUAUAAGACUGGAAUAACUCCGGGAAACCGGGGCUAAUGCCGGAUAAUAUUUAGAACCGCAUGGUUCUAAAGUGAAAGAUGGUUUUACUAUCACUUAUAGAUGGACCCGCGCCGUAUUAGCUAGUUGGUGGGGUAAUGGCUUACCAAGGCAACGAUACGUAGCCGACCUGAGAGGGUGAUCGGCCACACUGGAACUGAGACACGGUCCAGACUCCUACGGGAGGCAGCAGUAGGGAAUCUUCCGCAAUGGGCGAAAGCCUGACGGAGCAACGCCGCGUGAGUGAUGAAGGUCUUCGGAUCGUAAAACUCUGUUAUUAGGGAAGAACAAAUGUGUAAGUAACUGUGCACGUCUUGACGGUACCUAAUCAGAAAGCCACGGCUAACUACGUGCCAGCAGCCGCG
rnacentral:rRNA from 1 species